rnacentral:rRNA from 1 species
UACAGAGGGUGCAAGCGUUAAUCGGAAUUACUGGGCGUAAAGCGUGCGUAGACGGUUACAUAAGUCGGGUGUGAAAGCCCCGGGCUCAACCUGGGAAUUGCAUUCGAGACUGCGUAGCUAGGGUGCGGAAGAGGGAAGCGGAAUUUCCGGUGUAGCGGUGAAAUGCGUAGAUAUCGGAAGGAACACCAGUGGCGAAGGCGGCUUACUGGUCCGGUUCUGACGCUGAGGCGCGAAAGCGUGGGGAGCAAACAGG